UAGGGAAUCUUCGGCAAUGGGGGGAACCCUGACCGAGCAACGCCGCGUGAGUGAAGAAGGUUUUCGGAUCGUAAAGCUCUGUUGUUAAGGAAGAACGAGUGUGAGAAUGGAAAGUUCAUGCUGUGACAGUACUUAACCAGAAAGGGACGGCUAACUACGUGCCAGCAGCCGCGGUAAUACGUAGGUCCCGAGCGUUGUCCGGAUUUAUUGGGCGUAAAGCGAGCGCAGGCGGUUAGAAAAGUCUGAAGUGAAAGGCAGUGGCUCAACCAUUGUAGGCUUUGGAAACUGUUUAACUUGAGUGCAGAAGGGGAGAGUGGAAUUCCAUGUGUAGCGGUGAAAUGCGUAGAUAUAUGGAGGAACACCGGUGGCGAAAGCGGCUCUCUGGUCUGUAACUGACGCUGAGGCUCGAAAGCGUGGGGAGCGAACAGG
rnacentral:rRNA from 1 species